rnacentral:rRNA from 1 species
UACGGAGGGGGCUAGCGUUGUUCGGAAUUACUGGGCGUAAAGGGCGCGUAGGCGGCGCGAUAAGUUGGGCGUGAAAGGCCCGGGCUCAACCCGGGGACUGCGCUUGAUACUGUCGCGCUGUGAGUCCGGGAGAGGAUGGCGGAAUUCCCAGUGUAGAGGUGAAAUUCGUAGAUAUUGGGAAGAACACCGGUGGCGAAGGCGGCGACCUGGGCCAAUAUUGACGCUGAGGUGCGAAAGCGUGGGGAGCAAACAGG